CCCUGGAUCGCUCAGCGGUAGAGCAACAGACUCCUGAUCUGUCAUUUGCGGGUUCGACUCCCGCUCCAGAA
rnacentral:tRNA from 1 species